rnacentral:rRNA from 1 species
UGAGGAAUUUUGCGCAAUGGGCGAAAGCCUGACGCAGCAACGCCGCGUGGGGGACGAAGGCUCUCGGGUUGUAAACCCCUUUUCUUGGGGAAGCGGUACCCAAGGAAUAAGUCACGGCAAACUACGUGCCAGCAGCCGCGGUAAUACGUAGGUGGCAAGCGUUGUCCGGAUUUACUGGGCGUAAAGCGCGCGUAGGCGGCUUUUUAAGUCUAUGGUGAAAUCUCUGGCUUAACCAGGAUGGGUCUGUAGAUACUGGAAGGCUUGAGUGUCGCAGAGGAAAGUGGAAUUCCCGGUGGAGUGGUGAAAUGCGUAGAUAUCGGGAGGAACACCAGAGGCGUAAGCGGCUUUCUAGGCGAUUACUGACGCUGAGGCGCGAAAGCGUGGGGAGCAAACCGGAUUAGAUACCCUAGUAGU